rnacentral:rRNA from 1 species
GGACGAACGCUGGCGGCGUGCCUAAUACAUGCAAGUCGAGCGGACAGAAGGGAGCUUGCUCCCGGAUGUUAGCGGCGGACGGGUGAGUAACACGUGGGUAACCUGCCUGUAAGACUGGGAUAACUCCGGGAAACCGGAGCUAAUACCGGAUAGUUCCUUGAACCGCAUGGUUCAAGGAUGAAAGACGGUUUCGGCUGUCACUUACAGAUGGACCCGCGGCGCAUUAGCUAGUUGGUGAGGUAACGGCUCACCAAGGCGACGAUGCGUAGCCGACCUGAGAGGGUGAUCGGCCACACUGGGACUGAGACACGGCCCAGACUCCUACGGGAGGCAGCAGUAGGGAAUCUUCCGCAAUGGACGAAAGUCUGACGGAGCAACGCCGCGUGAGUGAUGAAGGUUUUCGGAUCGUAAAGCUCUGUUGUUAGGGAAGAACAAGUGCAAGAGUAACUGCUUGCACCUUGACGGUACCUAACCAGAAAGCCACGGCUAACUACGUGCCAGCAGCCGCGGUAAUACGUAGGUGGCAAGCGUUGUCCGGAAUUAUUGGGCGUAAAGGGCUCGCAGGCGGUUUCUUAAGUCUGAUGUGAAAGCCCCCGGCUCAACCGGGGAGGGUCAUUGGAAACUGGGAAACUUGAGUGCAGAAGAGGAGAGUGGAAUUCCACGUGUAGCGGUGAAAUGCGUAGAGAUGUGGAGGAACACCAGUGGCGAAGGCGACUCUCUGGUCUGUAACUGACGCUGAGGAGCGAAAGCGUGGGGAGCGAACAGGAUUAGAUACCCUGGUAGUCCACGCCGUAAACGAUGAGUGCUAAGUGUUAGGGGGUUUCCGCCCCUUAGUGCUGCAGCUAACGCAUUAAGCACUCCGCCUGGGGAGUACGGUCGCAAGACUGAAACUCAAAGGAAUUGACGGGGGCCCGCACAAGCGGUGGAGCAUGUGGUUUAAUUCGAAGCAACGCGAAGAACCUUACCAGGUCUUGACAUCCUCUGACAACCCUAGAGAUAGGGCUUUCCCUUCGGGGACAGAGUGACAGGUGGUGCAUGGUUGUCGUCAGCUCGUGUCGUGAGAUGUUGGGUUAAGUCCCGCAACGAGCGCAACCCUUGAUCUUAGUUGCCAGCAUUCAGUUGGGCACUCUAAGGUGACUGCCGGUGACAAACCGGAGGAAGGUGGGGAUGACGUCAAAUCAUCAUGCCCCUUAUGACCUGGGCUACACACGUGCUACAAUGGACAGAACAAAGGGCUGCGAGACCGCAAGGUUUAGCCAAUCCCACAAAUCUGUUCUCAGUUCGGAUCGCAGUCUGCAACUCGACUGCGUGAAGCUGGAAUCGCUAGUAAUCGCGGAUCACAUGCCGCGGGUGAAUUACGUUCCCGGGGCCUUGUACACACCGCCCGUCACACCACGAGAGUUUGCAACACCCGAAGUCGGUGAGGUAACCUUUAUGGAGCCAGCCGCCGAAGGUGGGGCAGAUGAUUGGGGUG